rfam:Triticum aestivum genome assembly, contig: Triticum_aestivum_CS42_TGACv1_scaffold_097404_2AL
AUAGUACUCCCUCCGCCCCGAAUUACUCGUCACGGAAAUGGAUAAAAAUGGAUUUAUCUAUAACUAAAAUACGCCUAGAUACAUCCAUUCCUGCGACAAGUAAUUCCGGACAGAGGGAGUACUUU